GGAAGCCCUGUGAGAAUUUAGGAGGACCACCUCCUAAGGCUAAAUACUAACUGGUGACCGAUAGUGAACUAGUACCGUGAGGGAAAGGUGAAAAGUACCCCGGAAGGGGAGUGAAAUAGUACCUGAAACCGUAUACCUACAAGCAGUGGGAGCACUAUUUUCUGAGAUUUAUCUUGUAAAAGUGUGACCGCGUGCCUUUUGUAAAAUGAGCCGGCGAGUUACGAUAUCUAGCUAGGUUAAGCAGCAGCUGCUGCGGAGCCGCAGCGAAAGCGAGUCUGAAUUAGGGCGAUUUUAGUUAGGUGGCGUAGACCCGAAACCGAGUGAUCUAACCAUGGCCAGGGUGAAGCAGGUCUGAUCGCCUGUGAAGGCCCGAACCCACUUAUGUUGAAAAAUGAGGGGAUGAGCUGUGGUUAGGGGUGAAAGACCAAUCAAACUCGGAGAUAGCUGGUUCUCCUCGAAAUAGCUUUAGGGCUAGCCUCAAAUGUUUGCCUAUGGAGGUAGAGCACUGAAUGGACUAAGGGCCCCACCAGGUUACUGAACCCAAUCAAACUCCGAAUGCCAUAGGUUUAUAGUUUGGGAGUCAGACUGCGGGGGAUAAGCUUCGUAGUCGAAAGGGAAACAGCCCAGACCAGCAGCUAAGG
rnacentral:rRNA from 1 species